rnacentral:rRNA from 1 species
GUCUGUUUGAUAAUAUUUACAGUCUNNNCUGCCCACUGAAUUUUUAAAGGCCGCGGUAUAAUGACCGUGCGAAGGUAGCAUAAUAAUUAGUCUUUUAAUUGAAGACUGGAAUGAACGGUCGGACAAAAAGUAACCUGUCUCGGAUUUAUAAAUUGAAAUUAACUUUUAAGUGAAAAGGCUUAAAUAAUCUUAAAAGACGACAAGACCCUAUAAAACUUUAUUUAGCUAAAUUUUAUUUUUAAUUUAUAAGUAUAAAAAGAACAAUAUUUAUCUAAAUUUCGUUGGGGCGACGAAAGCAUAUACUUAACUGCUUUAUUUUUAAAACAAUUAUAUUUGAUUAUUAUGACCCUUUUUUAAGAUCUAAAGAAAAAGUUACUUUAGGGAUAACAGCGUUAUUUUUUUUGAGAGUUCAUAUCGACAAAAAAGUUUGCGACCUCGAUGUUGAAUUAAAGUCCCACUAUAGUGCAGUAAUUAUAUAGGUAGGUCUGUUCGACCUUUAAAACUUUACAUGAUUUGAGUUCAAACCGGUGUAAG